CGAGUCUUAACUGGGCGAAUGAGUUGCAGGGUAUAGACCCGAAACCCGGUGAUCUAUCCAUGGGCAGGUUGAAGGUUGGGUAACACUAACUGGAGGACCGAACCGACUAAUGUUGAAAAAUUAGCGGAUGACUUGUGGAUGGGGGUGAAAGGCCAAUCAAACCGGGAGAUAGCUGGUUCUCCCCGAAAGCUAUUUAGGUAGCGCCUCGUGAACUCAUCUUCGGGGGUAGAGCACUGUUUCGACUAGGGGGUCAUCCCGACUUACCAACUCGAUGCAAACUGCGAAUACCGAAGAAUGUUAUCACGGGAGACACACGGCGGGUGCUAACGUCCGUCGUGAAGAGGGAAACAACCCAGACCGCCAGCUAAGGUCCCAAAGUCAUGGUUAAGUGGGAAACGAAGUGGGAAGGCUCAGACAGCCAGGAUGUUGGCUUAGAAGCAGCCAUCAUUUAAAGAAAGCGUAAUAGCUCACUGGUCGAGUCGGCCCGCGCGGAAGAUGUAACGGGGCUAAACCAUGCACCGAAGCUGCGGCAGCGAACGUAUCACUUAAAUUUGUUUGAGUGAAUAACGAUUGACGGAACGAAGUGACGUCAAUGCGUUAAUGAAAGUCGAGGCG
rnacentral:rRNA from 1 species